GGGUUGUGAGGUUAAGCGACUAAGCGUACACGGUGGAUGCCCUGGCAGUCAGAGGCGAUGAAGGGCGUACUAAUCUGCGAUAAGCGCCGGUAAGGUGAUAUGAACCGUUAUAACCGGCGAUACCCGAAUGGGGAAACCCAGUGUGAUUCGUCACACUAUCAUUAACUGAAUCCAUAGGUUAAUGAGGCGAACCGGGGGAACUGAAACAUCUAAGUACCCCGAGGAAAAGAAAUCAACCGAGAUUCCCCCAGUAGCGGCGAGCGAACGGGGAGGAGCCCAGAGCCUGAAUCAGCAUGUGUGUUAGUGGAAGCGUCUGGAAAGGCGCGCGAUACAGGGUGACAGCCCCGUACACAAAAGCGCAUGUGCUGUGAGCUCGAUGAGUAGGGCGGGACACGUGGUAUCCUGUCUGAAUAUGGGGGGACCAUCCUCCAAGGCUAAAUACUCCUGACUGACCGAUAGUGAACCAGUACCGUGAGGGAAAGGCGAAAAGAACCCCGGCGAGGGGAGUGAAAAAGAACCUGAAACCGUGUACGUACAAGCAGUGGGAGCACCCUUUGGGUGUGACUGCGUACCUUUUGUAUAAUGGGUCAGCGACUUAUAUUCUGUAGCAAGGUUAACCGAAUAGGGGAGCCGGAGGGAAACCGAGUCUUAAUUGGGCGUUAAGUUGCAGGGUAUAGACCCGAAACCCGGUGAUCUAGCCAUGGGCAGGUUGAAGGUUGGGUAACACUAACUGGAGGACCGAACCGACUAAUGUUGAAAAAUUAGCGGAUGACCUGUGGCUGGGGGUGAAAGGCCAAUCAAACCGGGAGAUAGCUGGUUCUCCCCGAAAGCUAUUUAGGUAGCGCCUCGUGAAUUCAUCUCCGGGGGUAGAGCACUGUUUCGGCUAGGGGGCCAUCCCGGCUUACCAACCCGAUGCAAACUGCGAAUACCGGAGAAUGUUAUCACGGGAGACACACGGCGGGUGCUAACGUCCGUCGUGAAGAGGGAAACAACCCAGACCGCCAGCUAAGGUCCCAAAGUCAUGGUUAAGUGGGAAACGAUGUGGGAAGGCCCAGACAGCCAGGAUGUUGGCUUAGAAGCAGCCAUCAUUUAAAGAAAGCGUAAUAGCUCACUGGUCGAGUCGGCCUGCGCGGAAGAUGUAACGGGGCUAAACCAUGC
rnacentral:rRNA from 1 species